UCAAGCUAUAAAGAGCGCAAGGGGAAUGCCUUGGCAUCAGGAGCCGAUGAAGGACGUGAUAAGCUGCGAUAAGCUUCGGGGAGCUGCAAAUGAGCUGUGAUCCGGAGAUUUCCGAAUGGGGAAACCCACCGCAAGGUAUCCCAUACUGAAUCAAAUAGGUAUGGGAAGGGAACCGCCUGAACUGAAACAUCUAAGUAGGGCGAGGAAAAGACAUCAACCGAGAUUCCGCGAGUAGUGGCGAGCGAAAGCGGAUCAGGCCAAACCGGAGGUAGCAAUAUCUCCGGGGUUACGGACAGCAACAUGAAGGAAGUUUUCUAAAAGAACGGCAUGGGAAGGCCGGCCAGAGAGUGUGAGAGCCACGUAUUUGAAAGAGAACUUUUGGAUAGCUGGAUCCAGAGUACCGCGGGACACGAGGAAUCCCGUGGGAAGUCGGGGGGACCACCCUCCAAGCCUAAAUACUACCUGAUGACCGAUAGAGGAGCAGUACCGUGAGGGAAAGGUGAAAAGAACCCCGGGAGGGGAGUGAAAGAGUACCUGAAACCUUGUGCUUACAAGCAGUCAAAGCCCGUUAAAGGGUGAUGGCGUACUUUUUGUAGAACGGUCCGGCGAGUUAUAGUAACUGGCGAGGUUAAGGUAUUGAGUACCGAAGCCGAAGGGAAACCGAGUGUGAAGAGCGCGAAUAAAGUCAGUUGCCAUAGACCCGAAACCAGGUGACCUAGCCAUGACCAGGCUGAAGUGGAGGUAAAGCUCCAUGGAGGGCCGAACCCACGUUCGUUGCAAUGACCGGGGAUGAGUUGUGGCUAGCGGUGAAAUUCCAAACGAACCUGGAGAUAGCUGGUUCUCCCCGAAAUAGUUUUAGGACUAGCGUUGGCAAUGAGUUUCGCGGUGGUAAAGCACUGAAUGGGCUAGGGGGCGAUAAGCUUACUGAACCCUAUCAAACUAAGAAUGCCGCAGAAAUGCUUACCAGCAGUCAGACUACGAGUAAUAAAAUCCGUGGUCAAAAGGGAAAUAGCCCAGACCCACAGCUAAGGUCCCGAAUACAUGCUAAGUGGAAAACGAUGUGAGAUUGCAGAAACAACCAGGAUGUUGGCUUAGAGGCAGCCACUCGUUCAAAGAGUGCGUAAUAGCUCACUGGUCGAGUGAUCUUGCGCGGAAAAUUUAACGGGGCUAAGCAUGUAACCGAAGCUUGGGAUUCACGAUUUUUCGUGAGUGGUAGGGGAGCGUCGAAUACGGGGUGAAGUCGCACCGGAAGGAGCGGUGGACUGUAUUCGAGUGAGAAUGCCGGAAUGAGUAGCGAGAAUUAUGUGGGAAUCAUAAUGGCCGAAAAUCUAAGGUUUCCUGGGGAAGGUUCGUCCGCCCAGGGUAAGCCGGGAGCUAAGGCGAGGCCGCAAGGCGUAGUCGAUGCACAUACGGUAGAAAUUCCGUAGCCGGUACAAUUGUUAAUCACGGUGACACAUGAGUAUAGCUCUACCGGGCGUUGGUAGCCCCGGGCGUAAGCGAGCCGAAUGAGGCGAAGUGAGCAAAGCUUGUGGCGAGAAAAGCCGUGUGUAUUGGUUGUACUGCCCGUACCGCAAACCGACACAGGUAGAUGAGGAGAAGAUCCUAAGGCCAACGGGAGAAGGGUUGUUAAGGAACUAGGCAAAUUGACCCCGUAACUUCGGAAUAAGGGGUGCCUACGAAAGUAGGUCGCAGAGAAUAGGCCCAAGCAACUGUUUACCAAAAACACAGGUCUCUGCUAAAUCGAAAGAUGACGUAUAGGGGCUGACGCCUGCCCGGUGCUGGAAGGUUAAGAGGAGAGCUUAGGGAAACCGAAGGUUCGAAUUGAAGCCCCAGUAAACGGCGGCCGUAACUAUAACGGUCCUAAGGUAGCGAAAUUCCUUGUCAGGUAAGUUCUGACCCGCACGAAAGGCGU
rnacentral:rRNA from 1 species